AUGCCAGCUUGCUGGUGGAUUAGUGGCGAACGGGUGAGUAACACGUGAGUAACCUGCCCUUGACUCUGGGAUAAGCCUGGGAAACUGGGUCUAAUACCGGAUAUGACCUUCCAUCGCAUGGUGGUUGGUGGAAAGCUUUUGUGGUUUUGGAUGGACUCGCGGCCUAUCAGCUUGUUGGUGGGGUAAUGGCCUACCAAGGCGACGACGGGUAGCCGGCCUGAGAGGGUGACCGGCCACACUGGGACUGAGACACGGCCCAGACUCCUACGGGAGGCAGCAGUGGGGAAUAUUGCACAAUGGGCGCAAGCCUGAUGCANNGNNGCCGCGUGAGGGAUGACGGCCUUCGGGUUGUAAACCUCUUUCAGUAGGGAAGAAGCGUAAGUGACGGUACCUGCAGAAGAAGCGCCGGCUAACUACGUGCCAGCAGCCGCGGUAAUACGUAGGGCGCAAGCGUUAUCCGGAAUUAUUGGGCGUAAAGAGCUCGUAGGCGGUUUGUCGCGUCUGCCGUGAAAGUCCGGGGCUCAACUCCGGAUCUGCGGUGGGUACGGGCAGACUAGAG
rnacentral:rRNA from 1 species